rnacentral:rRNA from 1 species
UUUCAACAACGGAUCUCUUGGCUCUCGCAUCGAUGAAGAACGCAGCGAAAUGCGAUAACUAAUGUGAAUUGCAGAAUUCAGUGAAUCAUCGAGUCUUUGAACGCACCUUGCGCCCU